AUUGAACGCUGGCGGCACGCCUAACACAUGCAAGUCGAGCGGCAGCAUGCUUAGUAGCAAUACUAAGUGAUGGCGAGCGGCGGACGGGUGAGGAACACGUAGGAACCUGCCCAAGAGGGGGGGAUAACUAAGGGAAACUUUAGCUAAUACCGCAUAAUCUCUGAGGAGAAAAGUUGCCCGCAAGGGUAGCGCUUUUGGAGGGGCCUGCGUCCGAUUAGCUAGUUGGUGAGGUAAUGGCUCACCAAGACGAUGAUCGGUAACUGGUCUGAGAGGACGACCAGUCACACUGGGACUGAGACACGGCCCAGACUCCUACGGGAGGCAGCAGUGGGGAAUCUUGGACAAUGGGGGCAACCCUGAUCCAGCGAUGCCGCGUGGGUGAAGAAGGCCUUCGGGUUGUAAAGCCCUUUAGGCUGGGAAGAAGAGUGCGGGGUGAAUAAUCCUGUACUUUGACGGUACCAGCAGAAUAAGCACCGGCAAACUCUGUGCCAGCCGCCGCAGUAA
rnacentral:rRNA from 1 species